AGAGCGAACGCUGGCGGCAGGCUUAAUACAUGCAAGUCGAGCGCCUGUAGCAAUACAGGAGCGGCAGACGGGUGAGUAACGCGUGGGAACGUACCCUUUGGUUCGGAACAACACAGGGAAACUUGUGCUAAUACCGGAUAAGCCCUUACGGGGAAAGAUUUAUCGCCGAAGGAUCGGCCCGCGUCUGAUUAGCUAGUUGGUGAGGUAAUGGCUCACCAAGGCGACGAUCAGUAGCUGGUCUGAGAGGAUGAUCAGCCACACUGGGACUGAGACACGGCCCAGACUCCUACGGGAGGCAGCAGUAGGGAAUAUUGGACAAUGGGGGCAACCCUGAUCCAGCCAUGCCGCGUGAGUGAUGAAGGCCUUAGGGUUGUAAAGCUCUUUGUGCGGGAAGAUAAUGACGGUACCGCAAGAAUAAGCCCCGGCUAACUUCGCGCCAGCAGCCGC
rnacentral:rRNA from 1 species